rnacentral:rRNA from 1 species
GACGAACCGUGCAAACGUUGUUCGGAAUCACUGGGCUUAAAGGGCGCGUAGGCGGGCCAGCCAGUCUGUGGUGAAAGCCUCCAGCUUAACUGGAGAAGUGCCGUGGAUACUGCUGGUCUCGAGGAGGGUAGGGGCAUCUGGAACGGUCGGUGGAGCGGUGAAAUGCGUUGAUAUCGACCGGAACUCCGGUGGCGAAGGCGAGGUGCUGGGCCCUUUCUGACGCUGAUGCGCGAAAGCCAGGGGAGCAAACGGG